AUACUUACCUGGCGUAUAGGUUAACCGCACUUCGAUUGAGUUAACCCCUGCGAUUAUUUCUAAUGUGAAUAACUCGUGCGUGUAAUUUUUGAUAGCCGGGAAUGCCAUUCGC
rnacentral:snRNA from 1 species